UGGUCGCCGAGGAACACCAGCUUGUACUUGGCGAGAGCAGAGACCGGAGCCAUUGCCGGAGAUCUGGCGACAAAGCCGAGAGCAAAAGCCGAGAGAGCCCGGCCUAGAUCCCCUUUCGUUCCUCUCUGUUUUGCGCUCUCUCGGAGCGCAACCUGGCCGUCUUUAUUGGGAACCUACGUAGGAUCUAAAAAUUGUCUGUUUUGGAUCGGGACUUUGCCUAUAUGUCGCUGCUCAGCUGGGUUGUGGCUGCUCAGCUGGGUUGUGUUGGAGUUCAUAAAAUCGAGUUGGG
rnacentral:lncRNA from 1 species